GGGUUGUGAGGUUAAGCGACUAAGCGUACACGGUGGAUGCCCUGGCAGUCAGAGGCGAUGAAGGACGUGCUAAUCUGCGAUAAGCGUCGGUAAGGUGAUAUGAACCGUUAUAACCGGCGAUUUCCGAAUGGGGAAACCCAGUGUGAUUCGUCACACUAUCAUUAACUGAAUCCAUAGGUUAAUGAGGCGAACCGGGGGAACUGAAACAUCUAAGUACCCCGAGGAAAAGAAAUCAACCGAGAUUCCCCCAGUAGCGGCGAGCGAACGGGGAGCAGCCCAGAGCCUGAAUCAGUGUGUGUGUUAGUGGAAGCGUCUGGAAAGGCGUGCGAUACAGGGUGACAGCCCCGUACACAAAAAUGCACAUACUGUGAGCUCGAUGAGUAGGGCGGGACACGUGGUAUCCUGUCUGAAUAUGGGGGGACCAUCCUCCAAGGCUAAAUACUCCUGACUGACCGAUAGUGAACCAGUACCGUGAGGGAAAGGCGAAAAGAACCCCGGCGAGGGGAGUGAAAAAGAACCUGAAACCGUGUACGUACAAGCAGUGGGAGCACGCUUAGGCGUGUGACUGCGUACCUUUUGUAUAAUGGGUCAGCGACUUAUAUUCUGUAGCAAGGUUAACCGAAUAGGGGAGCCGAAGGGAAACCGAGUCUUAACUGGGCGUUAAGUUGCAGGGUAUAGACCCGAAACCCGGUGAUCUAGCCAUGGGCAGGUUGAAGGUUGGGUAACACUAACUGGAGGACCGAACCGACUAAUGUUGAAAAAUUAGCGGAUGACUUGUGGCUGGGGGUGAAAGGCCAAUCAAACCGGGAGAUAGCUGGUUCUCCCCGAAAGCUAUUUAGGUAGCGCCUCGUGAAUUCAUCUCCGGGGGUAGAGCACUGUUUCGGCAAGGGGGUCAUCCCGACUUACCAACCCGAUGCAAACUGCGAAUACCGGAGAAUGUUAUCACGGGAGACACACGGCGGGUGCUAACGUCCGUCGUGAAGAGGGAAACAACCCAGACCGCCAGCUAAGGUCCCAAAGUCAUGGUUAAGUGGGAAACGAUGUGGGAAGGCCCAGACAGCCAGGAUGUUGGCUUAGAAGCAGCCAUCAUUUAAAGAAAGCGUAAUAGCUCACUGGUCGAGUCGGCCUGCGCGGAAGAUGUAACGGGGCUAAACCAUGCACCGAAGCUGCGGCAGCGACGCUUAUGCGUUGUUGGGUAGGGGAGCGUUCUGUAAGCCUGUGAAGGUGUGCUGUGAGGUAUGCUGGAGGUAUCAGAAGUGCGAAUGCUGACAUAAGUAACGAUAAAGCGGGUGAAAAGCCCGCUCGCCGGAAGACCAAGGGUUCCUGUCCAACGUUAAUCGGGGCAGGGUGAGUCGACCCCUAAGGCGAGGCCGAAAGGCGUAGUCGAUGGGAAACAGGUUAAUAUUCCUGUACUUGGUGUUACUGCGAAGGGGGGGACGGAGAAGGCUAUGUUGGCCGGGCGACGGUUGUCCCGGUUUAAGCGUGUAGGCUGGUUUUCCAGGCAAAUCCGGAAAAUCAAGGCCGAGGCGUGAUGACGAGGCACUACGGUGCUGAAGCAACAAAUGCCCUGCUUCCAGGAAAAGCCUCUAAGCAUCAGGUAACAUCAAAUCGUACCCCAAACCAACACAGGUGGUCAGGUAGAGAAUACCAAGGCGCUUGAGAGAACUCGGGUGAAGGAACUAGGCAAAAUGGUGCCGUAACUUCGGGAGAAGGCACGCUGAUACGUAGGUGAAGCGACUUGCUCGUGGAGCUGAAAUCAGUCGAAGAUACCAGCUGGCUGCAACUGUUUAUUAAAAACACAGCACUGUGCAAACACGAAAGUGGACGUAUACGGUGUGACGCCUGCCCGGUGCCGGAAGGUUAAUUGAUGGGGUUAGCGCAAGCGAAGCUCUUGAUCGAAGCCCCGGUAAACGGCGGCCGUAACUAUAACGGUCCUAAGGUAGCGAAAUUCCUUGUCGGGUAAGUUCCGACCUGCACGAAUGGCGUAAUGAUGGCCAGGCUGUCUCCACCCGAGACUCAGUGAAAUUGAACUCGCUGUGAAGAUGCAGUGUACCCGCGGCAAGACGGAAAGACCCCGUGAACCUUUACUAUAGCUUGACACUGAACAUUGAGCCUUGAUGUGUAGGAUAGGUGGGAGGCUUUGAAGUGUGGACGCCAGUCUGCAUGGAGCCGACCUUGAAAUACCACCCUUUAAUGUUUGAUGUUCUAACGUGGACCCGUAAUCCGGGUUGCGGACAGUGUCUGGUGGGUAGUUUGACUGGGGCGGUCUCCUCCUAAAGAGUAACGGAGGAGCACGAAGGUUGGCUAAUCCUGGUCGGACAUCAGGAGGUUAGUGCAAUGGCAUAAGCCAGCUUGACUGCGAGCGUGACGGCGCGAGCAGGUGCGAAAGCAGGUCAUAGUGAUCCGGUGGUUCUGAAUGGAAGGGCCAUCGCUCAACGGAUAAAAGGUACUCCGGGGAUAACAGGCUGAUACCGCCCAAGAGUUCAUAUCGACGGCGGUGUUUGGCACCUCGAUGUCGGCUCAUCACAUCCUGGGGCUGAAGUAGGUCCCAAGGGUAUGGCUGUUCGCCAUUUAAAGUGGUACGCGAGCUGGGUUUAGAACGUCGUGAGACAGUUCGGUCCCUAUCUGCCGUGGGCGCUGGAGAACUGAGGGGGGCUGCUCCUAGUACGAGAGGACCGGAGUGGACGCAUCACUGGUGUUCGGGUUGUCAUGCCAAUGGCACUGCCCGGUAGCUAAAUGCGGAAGAGAUAAGUGCUGAAAGCAUCUAAGCACGAAACUUGCCCCGAGAUGAGUUCUCCCUGACCCUUUAAGGGUCCUGAAGGAACGUUGAAGACGACGACGUUGAUAGGCCGGGUGUGUAAGCGCAGCGAUGCGUUGAGCUAACCGGUACUAAUGAACCGUGAGGCUUAACCUUACAACGCCGAAGGUGUUU
rnacentral:rRNA from 1 species